rnacentral:misc_RNA from 1 species
GAUGAAGAACGUAGCGAAAUGCGAUAAUUAAUGUGAAUUGCAGAAUUCAGUGAAUCAUCGAGUCUUUGAACGCACAUUGCGCCCCCUGGUAUUCCGGGGGGCAUGUCUGUCCGAGCGUCAUUGCUGCCCUCAAGCACGGCUUGUGUGUUGGGCUUCCGUCCCUGGCAACUGGGACGGGCCCAAAAGGCAGUGGCGGCACCAUGUCUGGUCCUCGAGCGUAUGGGGCUUUGUCACCCGCUCCCGUAGGUCCAGCUGGCAGCUAGCCUCGCAACCAAUCUUUUUAACCAGGUUGACCUCGGAUCAGGUAGGGAUACCCGCUGAACUUAAGCAUAUCAAUAAGCGGAGGA